rnacentral:rRNA from 1 species
AGUCGACGAACUUCUUUAUCACCGAGUGCUUGCACUCACCGAUAAAGAGUUGAGUGGCGAACGGGUGAGUAACACGUGGGCAACCUGCCCAAAAGAGGGGGAUAACACUUGGAAACAGGUGCUAAUACCGCAUAACCAUAGUUACCGCAUGGUAACUAUGUAAAAGGUGGCUAUGCUACCGCUUUUGGAUGGGCCCGCGGCGCAUUAGCUAGUUGGUGGGGUAAAGGCUUACCAAGGCAAUGAUGCGUAGCCGAACUGAGAGGUUGAUCGGCCACAUUGGGACUGAGACACGGCCCAAACUCCUACGGGAGGCAGCAGUAGGGAAUCUUCCACAAUGGGCGAAAGCCUGAUGGAGCAACGCCGCGUGGGUGAAGAAGGUCUUCGGAUCGUAAAACCCUGUUGUUAGAGAAGAAAGUGCGUGAGAGUAACUGUUCACGUUUCGACGGUAUCUAACCAGAAAGCCACGGCUAACUACGUGCCAGCAGCCGCGGUAAUACGUAGGUGGCAAGCGUUAUCCGGAUUUAUUGGGCGUAAAGGGAACGCAGGCGGUCUUUUAAGUCUGAUGUGAAAGCCUUCGGCUUAACCGGAGUAGUGCAUUGGAAACUGGGAGACUUGAGUGCAGAAGAGGAGAGUGGAACUCCAUGUGUAGCGGUGAAAUGCGUAGAUAUAUGGAAGAACACCAGUGGCGAAAGCGGCUCUCUGGUCUGUAACUGACGCUGAGGUUCGAAAGCGUGGGUAGCAAACAGGAUUAGAUACCCUGGUAGUCCACGCCG